GAUGAACGCUGGCGGCGUGCCUAAUACAUGCAAGUCGAGCGAAUGGAUUAAGAGCUUGCUCUUAUGAAGUUAGCGGCGGACGGGUGAGUAACACGUGGGUAACCUGCCCAUAAGACUGGGAUAACUCCGGGAAACCGGGGCUAAUACCGGAUAACAUUUUGAACCGCAUGGUUCGAAAUUGAAAGGCGGCUUCGGCUGUCACUUAUGGAUGGACCCGCGUCGCAUUAGCUAGUUGGUGAGGUAACGGCUCACCAAGGCAACGAUGAGUAGCCGAGCUGAGAGGGUGGUCGGCCACACUGGGACUGAGACACGGCCCAGACUCCUGCGGGAGGCAGCAGUAGGGAAUCUUCCGCAAUGGACGAAAGUCUGACGGAGCAACGCCGCGGGAGUGAUGAAGGCUUUCGGGUCGUAAAACUCUGUUGUUAGGGAAGAACAAGUGCUAGUUGAAUAAGCUGGCACCUUGACGGUACCUAACCAGAAAGCCACGGCUAACUACGUGCCAGCCGCCGCAGUAA
rnacentral:rRNA from 1 species